rnacentral:rRNA from 1 species
UUUGAACGCUGGCGGCAGGCCUAACACAUGCAAGUCGAGCGGCAGCGGGAAAGUAGCUUGCUACUUUUGCCGGCGAGCGGCGGACGGGUGAGUAAUGCCUGGGGAUCUGCCCAGUCGAGGGGGAUAACUACUGGAAACGGUAGCUAAUACCGCAUACGCCCUACGGGGGAAAGCAGGGGACCUUCGGGCCUUGCGCGAUUGGAUGAACCCAGGUGGGAUUAGCUAGUUGGUGAGGUAACGGCUCACCAAGGCGACGAUCCCUAGCUGGUCUGGGAGGAUGAGCAGCCACACUGGAACUGAGACACGGUCCAGACUCCUACGGGAGGCAGCAGUGGGGAAUAUUGCACAAUGGGGGAAACCCUGAUGCAGCCAUGCCGCGUGUGUGAAGAGGGCCUUCGGGUUGUAAAGCACUUUCAGCGAGGAGGAAAGGUCAGUAGCUAAUAUCUGCUGGCUGUGACGUUACUCGCAGAAGAAGCACCGGCUAACUCCGUGCCAGCCGCCGCGGUAA